GUGGGGAAUAUUGGGCAAUGGGGGAAACCCUGACCCAGCGACGCCGCGUGAGGGAAGAAGGCCUUAGGGUCGUAAGCCUCUGUUGUGUGGGAAGAAGAGCGUGACGGUACCACACGAGGAAGUCCCGGCUAACUACGUGCCAGCAGCCGCGGUAAUACGUAGGGGACGAGCGUUGUCCGGAUUUACUGGGCGUAAAGGGCGCGUAGGCGGUCAUUUAUGUCAGCUGUGAAAUGGUUUGGCUUAACCGGAUCAUGCGGUUGAAACUGGAUGACUGGAGUGCUGGAGAGGCAAGUGGAAUUCCCAGUGUAGCGGUGAAAUGCGUAGAUAUUGGGAAGAACACCGGUGGCGAAGGCGACUUGCUGGCCAGCAACUGACGCUGAGGCGCGAAAGCCAGGGGAGCAAACGGGAUUAGAAACCCCUGUAGUCC
rnacentral:rRNA from 1 species